rnacentral:rRNA from 1 species
UACAGAGGGUGCGAGCGUUAAUCGGAAUUACUGGGCGUAAAGCGUGCGUAGACGGUAGCGUAAGUCAGAUGUGAAAGCCCCGGGCUCAACCUGGGAAUUGCAUUUGAGACUGCGUAGCUAGGGUGCGGAAGAGGGAAGCGGAAUUUCCGGUGUAGCGGUGAAAUGCGUAGAUAUCGGAAGGAACACCAGUGGCGAAAGCGGCUUCCUGGUCCAGCACCGACGUUCAGGCACGAAAGCGUGGGGAGCAAACAGG